rnacentral:lncRNA from 1 species
GCCAAGCACACCUACAUCUCCUUAUAUAUAUAUAUAUAUGUAUGUAUAUAUAAUUUUUUUUUUUGUAAGAGAUGUCAAGUUUAAUGAGAUUUGUGGGGUUCUCAAUGUCAUUCACAACUCCUUCUGCCCAGUUGCGUGGCUGUUGUCUCAGGAGAUCCCUUUCUUCUUGCUUAUCUCUUUGGACUUGAGGUCACCGACAACCAGAGGAAGAAACCCUGGGGUGCCUGCAUGCAAAUCCCUCUGUUCAGCUCAUUGCUUCAGUGAUAGAUGGAUCCUGGAUGGUGCACAUACCCAUUUUGCACGCUUAUCACAGGACAAGGGAGAGAAGCUUGCGCCUCCUACUCUCCAUUUUACCUGGGAUGGGACCAGUGUGCUUUCUAAAGGAGAAGCAGCCUGCCCUUCUGCUGUGGGCAUGAGAAGGGUGAUGAAGAAGGGAAAAUUAGGGGAAAACAGCUUUCCUUCAGCAGCAUCUCCCUUGCAAAUGCUCCUUGCCCCACAUCCAGAAGUUUGCCAGAGCUGGUUCCAGGUCUGCUCCCAGAAAUGCUUCUUCACCAGUGCUGGUGUGGGGACAAGAAGGAGUCCAAACUGACUGCUUGAGGAGGAAGGUCCAAAGCGAAGAUAAAGCUGAUUUCCUCCCCUGGCGGCAGCAGCGGAUGCAGAGAACAAUAGGUACGGUGACUGCUCAGGGGACAACUCCUGCUCCCCUGUGCUGUGCCCAGCCCUCAGCUGGGGAUGGAGGGACCCACCCGAGGGGAAAGCCAGCUCCAGAGGAGUGGUUUGGAAAGGAACAUUGCAAAAAUUCAUGGAAAGCUGUGAUUGAGCGAAGAAUGAGGUCGCGCAGCCGUUCCAGGAAAGGUGCAGCAAGAUAUGUGUUUACUGCAGAAAUUCUAUGGAAUGGGUAAAAAUAAAAGAAUCUCACUUCUGGGAAGGUGCAGGAGGUCAGAAGAACCUGAGAGCAAGCAGUCACAGAGCUGUGACCUGUCCCAGGAGCCCCUUUUUGGUGCCUGAUCACUGAUGUGAGGCUGCUUAUUGCAAAACCUGCAGCGGGACGUAUCCAGUUAUCACUGUCUCUGGGUAAUGUAGAUAAAAUGUUUGCUUUUUUAUUUUUACCUCAGUAAGUCCUUAAUCCUCCCAACGUGGGCUGACUGCAUCUGGUUGCUCGUCAGCAUCCACUCUGGGCCACCACAGCCUCAGGAUCUAUUUGGGAUUCCACACCUCCCCAAAAGCUGUUCUCCAGUUUGGCUGGUGCAGUUAUCCAUCCCAAAUGCGGCUCUUUACUUCUCCAGGUUUGGUCUAGCUCCUUCCAAAUGAUCACUGUGAAUUUAUUCAGAUCGUUGCUAGUCGUCUGCCUUCCAGACGCCUUGCAGCCCUCCCAGCCCAGAGUUACUGUAAUGCACUCUUCAGUCAAUCAUCUGCACUGCUAACGCAAAUUGUGUAUGCCUGGGCACCAGACCCCUUGCAGUCUGGCAGAGAGUAUCCAGAGCCAUAUACUGAGCAUGAGAUGUCUCCUGUGUGUUGUGUACCCACUGCAUGGCCUUCGCCUGCCUCUUGAGGGUGACCAGGAGAUGUGGGAUGAGCAGUCUCUGAGCUUUGGGGAUGCAGCACAUCCUUUCCAUGCAGUGUCAGAGGUUAGCCAUGUUUAGCUAUUUAGAGCUUGGCAGUGAGUAGGAAGGAGGGAGAAAGCAUAAGGGACAGGCGUAUGUUCUCAGAUGCUCCAUAACGAUGUCAUCCGAGGAUGAUUUACAUCGGAGCUGGGACAUAUGGUGUGCUUUAUCACCAGGAUGCGUGCUGACACCUGAUUACAUGCCCACAUUUCUUCUUCUUGGCUUUACACCUCGCUCAUUCCCUGCGGAGGCACCGGGUAUGGGUCCUCAAAGUGGAGCAAUACUGUCCUUGGGUUGUGGGAUGUCUGAAAGGGGGUUCCCUGCAGACAUCUCCUGGCCUUGGUCUGCACUCAUCUUGGCCUCUGGGAGCUUGCUGGGGAGCCAGUGCACCUCUUAGCUCCCAGGUGCUAAAAUCCAUCAGGAUUGGCUCCUGGGAAGGGAAAAAGCCAAGGAUGAGGGUAACUGGGGAAAACUGAUGGCAUUAAACAUGUCAUCAUGUUUACUGUUGGCUAGAAAUGAUUGACGUUUUUCUACAUUGUUCCUACACAUUUGCCUAACUUGUUCUUAAGUGUUUCCAGUGCUGCACUCCUUUACUUCCCAGGCUAAUUCAUACCUGUCCUUAAUUAACCCUGUCAUUAGGGAGGUCUCCUCAAGUGUCACACGCAUGUGCUGCGCUUUGAUCCACCAUAUCACAUCCUACCCAUCAUAGACAAGGAGAACCAUGCACUCCUUUCCCUGAAGGGACAUUCUGCCUCUGAGGUCUGUUGGAAAGGCUCCCCUCUCUUUCUUUUUGCCCGUUUCCUUCAGUUCUUCAUCAUUGGGUUCUGUUUUCAUCAUCUUUCCUUCAACCUAUGGCGCUCUGCCCACUUUGGAUCCUCCCAUGGCACUCCAGCUGAGAUUUCAACAGGGGUGAGCCAUACCAAAGGGCAACUCAGUGUGCUUCACACCCAACCACUGUGUUAAAUCAUCCCAUCUAACAGGAAAGAAAACACUGCUGGCUUUCAUGGCCCUGUUGUAUUGGUGAAGAUGGAUAUGAUGAUGCAGAAGGCCACAGGAUACUGCAGCAUUGGUCGUGCUCUCCUUCCAGGUUGGGAAAAUGAUUUUCCAUAGUGGAAAAAGCAUCUUUCACAAUCCAGAUCUCUUGCAGGAGGGAAUCUGAUUUUGUUGAUAUUUUCAGGCCGACUUGGGUUUUAGCUUGCCUUGUUUUGCAAGGAUGAGAACAUUUUGUGCUGAUGAAAUCGUUCGGCUUAAUUGCAC